GACGAACGCUGGCGGCGUGCUUAACACAUGCAAGUCGGACGGACUGCUUGGGGGCUUGCUCCUGGGUGGUGAGUGGCGAACGGGUGAGUAACACGUGAGUAACCUGCCCUCUUCUUCGGGAUAACGGUUGGAAACGGCUGCUAAUACCGGGUAUUCACUGGUCCUCGCAUGGGGGUUGGUAGAAAGGGGUUUUUCUGGUGGGGGAUGGGCUCGCGGCUUAUCAGCUUGUUGGUGGGGUGAUGGCUUACCAAGGCUUUGACGGGUAGCCGGCCUGAGAGGGUGACCGGUCACAUUGGGACUGAGAUACGGCCCAGACUCCUACGGGAGGCAGCAGUGGGGAAUUUUGCACAAUGGGCGCAAGCCUGAUGCAGCGACGCCGCGUGAGGGAUGGAGGCCCUUCGGGUUGUGAAACCUCUUUCGCUCAUGGUCAAAGCCCGCAA
rnacentral:rRNA from 1 species